rnacentral:rRNA from 1 species
GAUUUCUGGCCUGAAACAUUUUGCCGGCCACGGUUUCGUGUGUUAGUGCUUGAUGUUCUGGCCAUCCUUCCAAUCGCUAUCGGCUUAUCUUCAUUGAUCGGUCGGUAGUAUUGGAUCUUUUACUUUGAAAAAAUUAGAGUGUUUCAAGCAGGCUUUAUGCUAUGAAUACAUUAGCAUGGAAUAAUAAUUUAGGACUUCGGUUCUAUUUUGUUGGUUUCUAGGACUGAAGUAAUGAUUGAUAGGGAUAGUUGGGGGUGCUAGUAUUCAGCGGCCAGAGGUGAAAUUCUCGGAUUCGCUGAAGACUAACUUAUGCGAAAGCAUU